UUGUAAAGUAAAAAUUAAUUAAGAAGAAAUUAAAUGAAAACAUUAAAUUUAAAUAGUUUGGCGGUACUUUAAAUAAUUAGAGGAAUUUGUUAAUUAAAUGAUAAUCCACGAAUGGAAAGUCCUAAUGGAGUUUUUAUGUAUUGUUGUAUAAAAAUUAUUUUAUAAGGAAUAUAAUUAAGAUAUUUAAUUUAAUUUGAAUAUAAAUCAAAAUGUAGAAUUGUUAGGAUUAAAUGAAUUACAAUUUAAUAUAAUAUUAGAAUUAUUUUUUAAAAUAAAGUAAUGAAAGAGGAUUUAAAAGUAAAUUUAAAUAAAUUUUUAAAUUGAAAAAUUAACUAAAGUAUG
rnacentral:rRNA from 1 species